CAACAGAGGGAUGCAAAGCCGCGAGGCAGAGCGAACCCCAAAAAGCCGUCCCAGUUCGGAUCGCAGGCUGCAACCCGCCUGCGUGAAGUCGGAAUCGCUAGUAAUCGCGGAUCAGCAUGCCGCGGUGAAUACGUUCCCGGGCCUUGUACACACCGCCCGUCACACCAUGAGAGUCGGGAACACCCGAAGCCCGUAGCCUAACCGCAAGGGGGGCGCGGUCGAAGGUGGGUUCGAUAAUUGGGGUGAAGUCGUAACAAGGUACC
rnacentral:rRNA from 1 species